UCGAUUGUGUUAUCAUGGGCAUCGGAAGUGGCUAACAGAGCUACCUUGUUACGACUUCACCCCCCAGUCGCUGAAUCCUACCCAGUAAUCGCCCUCGCCGGUUGUUCUUCCCUUCUGGUAAACCACUCAUGGUGUGACAGGCGGUGUACAAGACCCGGGAACGUAUUCACCGCGACAUGCUGAUCCACCGCGAUGCAGCGAUUCCGACUUCACGCAGUCGAGUUGCAGACUGCGAUCCGGACUACGAUCCGGGUUUCUGGGAUUGGCUCCCCCUCGCGGAUUGGCGACCCUCGUCCCGACCAUUGUAUGACGUGUCUGACCUACCCAUAAGGGCCAUGAGGACUUGACGUCAUCCCCACAGCCCCUCGGUUGUCUGUGAUCAUUAGAGUGCCCUUUCGGCCCAGCAACUAAUGACAAAGGUUGCUCGUUGCGGGACUUAACCUUAACAUCUCUCCGACACGAGCUGACGACAGCCAUGCAGCACCUGUGUUCCAGUUCCCUGUCUUGCGAGCACUCCCAAAUCUCUGGGAUUCAGACGUCACAAGGGUAGGUAAGGUUUUCGCGUUACAUCAGUUAAUCAUCAUCCACCCUUGUACGGGGUCCCCGUCAGAUUUAUUUGAGUUUUAAUCUUUGUCGUAUACAGGCGGUCACUUCACGCGUUAGCUGCGCUACCGAGAGCCAGGCCCAACAGCUGGUGAGCAUCGUUUAGGCUGAACUACAGGAGUAUCUAAUCUGUUUUGCUCCACGCUGUGCGUAAGCGUCAGUGUUACCCUCCAGGCUGCUGCCAUCGGUGUUCCUCCGCAUAUCUACGCAUUUCACCACCGCGGAAUUCCACCUCCCUCGACCAUCCCCAAAGCUCGGUAGUUAAAAAUGCAGUUCCAAGGGUCAAGCUCUGGAUUUCGCAUCUUUCUUUCCGAACCGCCUGCACACGCUUUGCCAGUAGUUCGAUUACUUUUCACGGCAUUACCUGCUGCCAGCUGCUGGCGUGGUGCAUCGGUGCUUGUUCUGCAGGUAUAGUCGGUUGCAGGAGUGAUAUUAUCGUGCCGUUUCUGUACCUACCAAGAAGAUCUUUUUACAACCCGAGAGCCUUCACGCCAGGAUGGCUGAAUCAGUUUCCCCGGUAUCCAAAAUUCCCCGCACCGCCUCCAGCGCGAGUCUGGGCAAGCCAUCUCAGUCCCGAUCAGCGGCUGGUCGUCCUCUCGAAGCCGCUUCUGGAUCGUCACUCGCCAAGUGGACAAUUACCCCACCAACUAGCUAAUCCGAUAUCGGCCACUCUGCUCACGUGCAAGGCCGAAAGUCCCCCGCUUUCCCCCGAAGGGUGUCUGCGAAACAUUCUUCUUUCGCGUAGUUAUCCCCCGCUACUAGGCACGUUCCGAUACGUACUCACCACGUUCGCCACUCGCCACCAGACCGAAGUCCGUGCCACCAUUCGACUUGCAUGUGUAAGCAUCCAUAGCGUUCAAUCUGAGCCAUAAUCAAAC
rnacentral:rRNA from 1 species